rnacentral:rRNA from 1 species
GACGAACGCUGGCGGCGUGCUUAACACAUGCAAGUCGAACGGAAAGGCCCUGCUUGCAGGGUACUCGAGUUGCGAACGGGUGAGUAACACGUGGGUGCUCUGCCCUGCACUUCGGGAUAAGCCUGGGAAACUGGGUCUAAUCCCGGAUAGGAGCCAUUUUUAGUGUGAUGGUUGGAAAGUUUUUUCGGUGUUGGAUGAGCUCGCGGCCUAUCAGCUUGUUGGUGGGGUAAUGGCCUACCAAGGCGGCGACGGGUAGCCGGCCUGAGAGGGUGGACGGCGACAUUGGGACUGAGAUACGGCACAGGCGCCUACGGGAGGCAGCAGUGGGGAAUAUUGCACAAGGGGCGCAAGCCUGAUGCAGCGACGCCGCGGGGGGGAUGACGGCCUUCGGGUUGAAAACACCUUUCGCUAGGGACGAAGCUUUUUGUGACGGUACCUAGAGAAGAAGCACCGGCUAACUACGUG